rnacentral:sRNA from 1 species
AAGUGAAUCGGAAUGCAUAAAUAAU